UUAAGAGCAUGUGUUCCUGCAAACAACGGCUUUGAUUCCCAGCAGCAUGGUCUACAUGAAGAACUACCAGAGCAAAAAGAAAUGUAGAAUAUACAAAGCACCAGGCAGUUGAAUGUCAGGAUCAAAGCUUGUGCUGAAUGAGAUAAGGAGAGGCCUGAUCCAAAAAAGGAAAUAAAAAAAGUGGUGUCUCAAGCAAGACCUACCCAGGGUAGAGACAAAAUGCAGUCCUCAGCCCAACACAAAACCUCCCUUUUAGAGACUGGGUUUCUUUUUCCGCCCAGCCCAGCUUGGCUUCCAGCGUGUGCUGCUGCCGCCUCAGCACUCAAGUUCAGUGUACUACUGUGCCCGGAACAUUUGCCUUUGCUGCCUAUACACACAGCUCAGUAAACACAACGCACGUUUGACCAGCUUUGUGCAGCAUUUUUACUUUAAGUUGUCUUAAUGUUAUUUUGAAAUGUUACAGAAGAUGGGAGGAAUUGCAUUCCUUCCUUCUGCAAAAAUAAAAGAAUAUACUACCCACUACCUUGAUUUUAAAUCUUCCCAAAGUGGUACACUUGAAAAUAAAACUUGUCUAAUUGA